CUGUCCGUAAGAGCAGCCAGUGAGCUCUCUCUCCAGCCCAGGACUAUUUGAGGAGUCUCUUUGUAGCCAUCCUGGAUAGAGAGGCAAUGGCAGACCCGAAUGCCUCUGCCCAUGUCCGCCUUGGUCAGUCAGUGAGCUCACUAGUGUUUGUGGAAGCACCAACCACUCACUGCCCAGAAUACUUCUGAGGCUCUUCUCAGCCUUCUAUGUCCAAAGCCGAAGAGUGGCCUCUUCAGCUUUCCUCUUCCUGCUACCUGGGAGUGUUAUCAGGCCCAGGAUCGAGAGGGUCCUGAGUAUGACCACAGUCGCUCUGAUCCUGGAGGGUACAGCCACACAGCACGGGUGUUCCCUGUUUGGAGAGACGUUCUGAAAGGAGGAACGUGGAAACACCUUUGCAGUGCUAUUUCAAAGAAGUCCUUCCUUAAACUUUCAGUGGACAACAUUUUACAGAGAGGACUCACAAACCAAACCAACCAACCAACCCUAGGAGGCGAUCUGGGAGUGCGGGGGACCUAAUUCACCAGCUCGAUGUGUUUAUGACAGCUUCGUGGGGUAUUUGCUGGUGUGCCUAAGGGCGUAGGAAGGAUCUCAGAGAUUUAAGUUCCAGAAGAGUACGGUUCGGUUUGGACCCUGUGAUGUUGGAUUUUGACAGCUCAGUGCUUACCGUGUCUCCCAGAGCUGGUUCACACCCUGAGAUCUCUGAGAGCAGGGAAGGACUCCAUUCCACACACACUGAAGGUGGCCUUCUGUACAUUUCGAGUUCUCUCGAUACUCAGGGGUGAUGCCGAUUUUAAAAAUAGACUCUUUUCCAAACCCUGUUUAAUUUUUUUCUUUUUGAGCGUGCGACCAUGGUUUUUCAUUUCAGUGAUUUCUACGAAACUUCACACAGAUGAAUUACUUACAAAUAAAAGGCGAUCUUUGUGUGAAUAGCUUCAGCUUUCACGGCUCAUCGCAGGGUACCCGUUUUAGAAUUCCCAGGGCUAAUCGGAGGGAGCGAGAGCUGAUGGGCCAGUGUGUUAUGGAAUAAUGGCCUGGUGUAGGGGUGUCUUCACGUUCCUUCUCGCGUCUGUCUUAAUGUAAGGCUGAAACAUGCCUUCAUGUUUAAACUUUUAGUCAUGCAGAGACUUGUCUUUAAUCUAUUUAGAUUAUUCAUUAAAAGUGAACACGGACAGGCAUGGUAGCGUAGACCUAUAUAAUCUCAGUAUUGGAGAAACCGAGGCAGGAUGGGAAGUUCUGGGCCAGUCUGGGCUUCAUAGUAAGACCUUGUCUCCACAAAGAUACAAAGCGAGCCAGCAGCGUGCUGUGUGGCCCAUCACACGGGACGCAGAGGACACAACAGUGGGCUUUCAGUGUGCCACACAGUAUGCAGACAGGACUUGAGCCUUGGUGUUGGUCAGGCUUGGGCUCCGUUCAGGAACCGGGAUUUACUUACUAAAUGACUUGUGUCUGAACAACUUACCCAUGCUCCUCUUUCUCCAUCUGUCAGGCUGCACGAGGCUUUCCUCAGAGAACUGAAGGACUAUAUGACGUCCACAGUCCUCAGCACCAAUUAUUCUUCAUUGUAUGAAAAACACCGACCACGGUGCCCGCUUUUGCUGAUGUAGCAUAUUCUGCUGAGUUAAAGCUACCUGUAAGGCAGGCGUGGUGGCUUACCGCUGUAAUCCCAGCACCUGGGAGACUGAGGCAGGAGGACUGCUGUGAGUUCAAAAGUCUCACUAAAAAGUGGGACUUUGCUUCAAAGAACAAUUUUUUUGGAACAGUUUUUAAAAAACAAAACAAAGACUACCAGUAAAAAGGUUACACGAUCUAAUAAAAUAAAGCCUCAUGAGUCUUAGAAAACUUAAUUUGGAAAUAGUUUUUGGCAAAUUUGAAAAGUUACCGCCACCAAACUAAUGCUUGUUCAUGCCGAAGGAUUUCUAAAGGACUGAUUCUGAGUUAGCAACCUACAAAAACAACACUGAGUUACUGGGAGGAAAUUCUGAAUUUCUGAAAUAAUUCCUUUGCUAAGUGACUCAGACUUUGGGUGUCGCCGAGGGGAACUCUUAAACAUGUCAAGGUUUGGUGGAUUCUUCCUGCUGAUGGUAACGCAUCGUCGACGCGGCUGCUCGGACCUGGCAGUAUGUUCCCUGCCAUUACUGCAGCAGCAAGUGGGGAUCCAGGGAUUUGCUUCCUGCUCGCUGUCUGACAGGACCAGCCCAGAGGCGCUCUGACUUGCGUGUACCCCUAUCAGCUCCGAUACUGAGAUCAAUACGCUCUGACAUGCACAGGGAGUGCCCUCAUCAAUUUUAAUUCUGAAAAUUGCUUAUGCACUACUGCCAUCCGUUUGUCUGGAUCGCUUCUGUGAAGACAGUAGACUCAUCAAUGUGAAGUGCGUCAUGUCAGCACUGGCCAUCGGGGACUUUGAAUCUCCAUUAAAUUAUCUCCUGAGGAACUCACUAGGCAUUCUGAUUGUCCCUACAGAAGAUGGUGAAGAGGAAGGGUGUGGUGUAAGAUGUGGGUUCGUUUUCUGUUAUUCAGAAAGUAAUUUUCUCGUGUGUUUUUGCAGACUACCACCUUUGGUCAACAUAUGGCAAAACAGACAAAGUUGAUUUGUUUCGUCAUAGAAGAAUUAGUCCCUGGCAGUCUUGGAAUCUUUGGCCUCAAAUUCCUAGAGAUCCCCCUGCUUCCUGAAUGCUGGAGUUAAAGUACUACAAUAUGUUGUUUUGACUGGAGAAUAUAAAAGUGUUCGUGUCUCAAGAUGUAGAACUGGUAAUGCAGAAAUAUUUUUAAAGUCUUUAAUAAAAUUGUAGGUAUUUUCCCGUGCCUUAGUUUUUUGUUGUUGUUUUUUUCUGUUGUUUUUUUUAAUUUAGUUUUUUAAAGAUUUAUUUUAUUUAUUGUGUGUCAGUGUUGGAGAGAUCCAGGAGAGGAAGUUAGAUCCCUGGACAUGCAUUACAGCUGGGGACCAAACUUGCGUCCUUUGGAAGAGCAUCAAGCGCCCCUAACCACUGAGCCACCUCUUCAGGCCCAUUACUUGAAUUUUUUUGAGUCAGAGUUUGCAAUGUGGGUCCAGCUUACUAUGUACUUAAGCUUCUUUUCAACUUCCUGCCUCUGUCCCCAGAUGCUAGGAUUCCAGAUAUGCACCACCAUGGCUAAUAAAUAGUAUUUUCUUAAAAUCAGAAGCAACAUAAAGCAUUAAUCUAUGCAAAUACUCUCGUACUCAGUUACAUUAAAAUCACCCACUGUUGUGUUGUUUCUUUAGUAUUCUUAACAAAUAAGACCAAAUUGGAUAACAUAAAACAACUGAUGUUUACUCUGUCACACUGAGUUUAUUAUAUGUUUGUCUUUAGUUAUUGUUCUAUUGUUGUGAAAAGACAUCACGGCCAAGGCAGCUUAUAAAAGACAGCAUUCAUUGGGAGCUUACUUACAGUUUCAGAGUGUUAGUCCAUGAACAUCCUGUGGGAAGUAUGGUGGUAGGCAAGCAGGCUGUUAGAGCAGUAACUGAGAGAUAACAUCCUGAUCCUCAGGCAGGACGUAGGAAGAGAUGGAGACAGGGCCUGUCCUGGGCUUUUGGGACCUCAAAGUCCACCCCUAGUGACACACCUCCCAAUGCUUCCCAAACAGUUCCACUAACUGGGGACCAGUCAUCCAAACAUGAGGUCAGGGGCCAUUCUCAUUCAAACACACCGACGUGUGUGCGUAGAUCUGGAUCAUGCAGUCCUUUGUAGAGUUUAGAGGUUGUCUGCCUCUGUCUUCAUACACUUUUUCCUCUGUGUUUCUCUGUCUUCUCCUUUUCUAGACCUUGUAAGGACACUUGUCACUAGAUUUAGAACUCAGAUAAUCUGCCACAGUCUCAUGAGUUGAUCCUUUUGAAGGCCACUGUCAAACUUAUUAAGUCGUUGUAGUUUGAGUGACUUUUGAUGUCGGUGUGGUUUUAUAAUUUUAUGCAUUAAGUCAUUUGGAAAGUUGUUGUUGUUUA
rnacentral:sRNA from 1 species